rnacentral:rRNA from 1 species
AUGGGAAGACGUGAUGCGGAGUGAAGUUUAGUAAUGAAGUCCGUGAGCUGUGCGUCAAGAAAAGCCGCUAUUGUUCAUACCAUACCCGUACCGUAAACCGACACAGGUGGAUGAGGAGAGAAUCCUAAGGCCGGCGGAAGAAGCAUUGUCAAGGAACUCGGCAAAAUGACCCCGUAACUUCGGGAGAAGGGGUGCCACUGAGAAGUGGCCGCAGAGAAUAGGCUCAAGCAACUGUUUAGCAAAAACACAGGUCUAUGCGAAACCGUAAGGUGAGGUAUAUGGGCUGACGCCUGCCCGGUGCUGGAAGGUUAAGAGGAGAGGUUAGCGGAAACGCGAAGCUUUGAAUUUAAGCCCCAGUAAACGGCGGCCGUAACGAUAACGGUCCUAAGGUAGCGAAAUUCCUUGUCGGGUAAGUUCCGACCCGCACGAAAGGCGUAAUGAUUUGAGCGCUGUCUCGACAAUGCAUCCGGUGGAAUUGAAGUACCAGUGAAGAUGCUGGUUACCUGCGCCAGGACGGAAAGACCCCACGGAGCUUUACUCCAGUUUGGUACUGGGAUCCGGUACUGCAUGUACAGGAUAGGUGGGAGGCUGAGAAAUGGUAACGACAGUUGCCAUGGAGCCGCUGUUGGGAUACCACCCUUGCAGUAUUGGGUUUCUAACCAGCCGCCGUGACCCGGCGGUGGGACAAUGCCAGACGGGGAGUUUGACUGGGGCGGUCGCCCCCGAAAGGGUAUCGGAGGCGCCCAAAGGUUCCCUCAGGAUGGACGGAAACCAUCCAAAGAGUGCAAAGGCAGAAGGGAGCUUGACUGCGACACCGACGGGUGGAGCAGGUACGAAAGUAGGGCUUAGUGAUCCGGUGGUAUUAAGUGGGAAUGCCAUCGCUCAACGGAUAAAAGCUACCCUGGGAUAACAGGCUUAUCACUCCCAAGAGUUCACAUCGACGGAGUGGUUUUGGCACCUCGAUGUCGGCUCAUCGCAUCCUGGGGCUGUAGUAGGUCCCAAGGGUUGGGCUGUUCGCCCAUUAAAGCGGUACGCGAGCUGGGUUCAGAACGUCGUGAGACAGUUCGGUCCCUAUCCGGCGUGGGCGUAGGAUAUCUGAGAGGAGCUGUCCUUAGUACGAGAGGACCGGGAUGGACGGGCCGCUGGUGCACCGGUUAGACUGCCAAGUCUAUAGCCGGGUAGCCAAGCCCGGAAGGGAUAAACGCUGAAGGCAUCUAAGCGUGAAGCCCCCCUCAAGAUGAGAUAUCCCAUCCGAAAGGAGUAAACCCCCUUGAAGACGACGAGGUUGAUAGGGCAGGGGUGGAAGUGUGGUAACACAUGGAGCUGACUGCUACUAAUAGGGUGAGGGCUUGAC